rnacentral:rRNA from 1 species
UACGUAGGUGGCAAGCGUUAUCCGGAAUUAUUGGGCGUAAAGAGCGCGCAGGUGGUUGAUUAAGUCUGAUGUGAAAGCCCACGGCUUAACCGUGGAGGGUCAUUGGAAACUGGUCGACUUGAGUGCAGAAGAGGGAAGUGGAAUUCCAUGUGUAGCGGUGAAAUGCGUAGAGAUAUGGAGGAACACCAGUGGCGAAGGCGGCUUCCUGGUCUGUAACUGACACUGAGGCACGAAAGCGUUGGGAUCAAACAGGAUUAGAUA